AACUACAGAUGGAAAGAAAAAGGGUAAAUGAAAGAGACUGAACAGAUUUAUCUUAAUUUUCCUUAUGUGAGCUGUCUGUGCGACUUUCCUGGUAAAAGCCAUGCUGACAAAUACAUGGAAACUGCUUUCACAUAUUAUGUUGUUUCUGUGCAUUCUAAAGUUUUCUCAUGUACACAAAUGAUCUAUGCUGCCUAGCCAGGAUAAAUUGCCUGAGUCAGGGAUUAGGGAGCACUUUGCAGCAGGAAAAAUUACAUCUUACUAGAACUGUUGAUAUGGCAGUUCCUGUUAUUGAAAUGCAUAUCUUGUUUUUUUUAACAAAUAUUUUUUAUUGAAGAUUUUUUUGACAUACAAAAGAAAAGCAAACAAUCCCGAACACAAGAGGCACAUUUGAAGUACAGGUUACAUUCAGAGUAAAUAGAGCAGCACUGCUUAGAGUUGGGGACCACUACAGAACACAGAACAUAAGGAUCAUUACAAGUUAACGCGUAGGAAUGACAGUAAAUAGGAUGUCCUAUUCUCUGCUGCAGCACAGAGAAUGUCUCAGGGGCUGUAGGGUGGAUAUUGAGUGGGGAGAUCACCGGUCGAUCCAUCAUCUGUCAAGAGAAACACACAAAGCAGUCACAAAAGUGCAAGCAUUUACAGUGUACAAUGGGCCUGAAAACAAUCCCUGUUUAAAACAUUAGAUGUGCAGAGUGCACAAUUGUUUGCAUUACUAGUGUUUUCUAUUUUUGUUUGCUUUCCUGUCAACCCUACAAUUUUAGCUAUUUGCACUUCCAUACAGUGCUCUUUACUAGGACACCUUAAGGGGGCUUAUCACCAGUCAUAGGCAUCAUAAUUUUGAUUGUAUGACAUACCACCCAACUUUCAUAAACCAGUUGCUGGAUAAAUGAUGUGCAUCACAGUUUAAAUGUCCUGUUGCUCAAGGAGACAUCAUAU